ensembl:misc_RNA Metazoa_SRP Metazoan signal recognition particle RNA
GCCAGGCAUGGUGGUGUGUGCCUGUAGUUCCUGCUACCCAGGUGUCUGAGGCAGGAAGAUUGCUUGAGCCCAGGAGUUCUGAGCUGCAGUGUGCUAUGCUGAUCAGAUGUCUGCAUAAAAUUCGACAUUAGUACGGUGACCUCCCAAAUAGGAGACCAGCAGACUGCCUAAGGAGGGGCCUGGCUUGGAAACAAAGCAGGGCACAACACCCAGUUUGACCAGCAUGGGGAUCAUCUCUGUGAACACGCCUGCACUUGGCCUGGGAAACAGUGAGACCCCAUCUCU